AGUGAACGCUGGCGGUAGGCCUAACACAUGCCAGUCGAACGGCAGCACAGUAAGAGCUUGCUCUUACGGGUGGCGAGUGGCGGACGGGUGAGGAAUACAUCGGAAUCUACUUUUUCGUGGGGGAUAACGUAGGGAAACUUACGCUAAUACCGCAUACGACCUACGGGUGAAAGCAGGGGAUCUUCGGACCUUGCGCGAUUGAAUGAGCCGAUGUCGGAUUAGCUAGUUGGCGGGGUAAAGGCCCACCAAGGCGACGAUCCGUAGCUGGGCUGAGAGGAUGAUCAGCCACACUGGAACUGAGACACGGUCCAGACUCCUACGGGAGGCAGCAGUGGGGAAUAUUGGACAAUGGGCGCAAGCCUGAUCCAGCCAUACCGCGUGGGUGAAGAAGGCCUUCGGGUUGUAAAUCCCUUUUGUUUGGAAAGAAAAGCAGCAGGUUAAUACCCCGCUGUUCUGACGGUACCCAAAGAAUAAGCACCGGCUAACUUCGUG
rnacentral:rRNA from 1 species